rnacentral:rRNA from 1 species
CCUACGGGUGGCAGCAGUGGGGAAUAUUGGACAAUGGGGGGAACCCUGAUCCAGCCAUGCCGCGUGUGUGAAGAAGGCCCUCGGGUUGUAAAGCACUUUCAGUGAGGAAGAACGCCUGGUGGUUAAUACCCAUCAGGAAAGACAUCACUCACAGAAGAAGCACCGGCUAACUCCGUGCCAGCAGCCGCGGUAAUACGGAGGGUGCGAGCGUUAAUCGGAAUUACUGGGGCGUAAAGCGCGCGUAGGUGGCUUGAUAAGCCGGUUGUGAAAGCCCCGGGCUCAACCUGGGAACGGCAUCCGGAACUGUCAAGCUAGAGUGCAGGAGAGGAAGGUAGAAUUCCCGGUGUAGCGGUGAAAUGCGUAGAGAUCGGGAGGAAUACCAGUGGCGAAGGCGGCCUUCUGGACUGACACUGACACUGAGGUGCGAAAGCGUGGGUAGCAAACAGGAUUAGAUACCCCGGUAGUC